AUCCAUAUCAUCUUGCACAGCCCAUGUUAAGGAAACUUUCAUAUUGGCAAGUCAUAGCUUACACGGAACAAUCUUAAAUAUUCACAGCAGAUUUGUGCCUCCUGUUUUGUUCGGCAAAUGGAUUAUAUUAUUUGGUGAUUUAGGAAAAUUGAGAGGAGAAUUUUAUACAUAUACCAUAUAUAUUAUUUUGCAAAAAGUUAUAAUUCAAAUUGCUGGCAUCCUUUGUAACAAAUAGAAUUCUCUUUUUGGUGAAUCAAAUAUGGCAACAGACUCAUGGAAGAAACAUUCUAUGUGAACAAAUAGGUCUCAGGACUAUGGUAUCAGUGACCAUUACCUUUCAAAUGGUGUUCAUGUAAGACACAGGGAAACAGGUGUCAUUGAAAAACUUUGUCAAAGUUAUGGCUUUAUUGAGUGUGCUGAACAGGAUCUU